UCUAGUGGCGGACGGGUGAGUAACACGUGAGAAUUUGCCUUUAGGAGGGGGAUAACAAUUGGAAACGAAUGCUAAUACCCCAUAUGCUUCCGAGUGAAAUGGAUUUAUAUUUAUCCGCCUAAAGAGAAGCUCGCGGCUGAUUAGCUUGUUGGUAAGGUAAGAGCUUACCAAGGCGACGAUCAGUAUCUGGUUUGAGAGGACGAUCAGACACACUGGAACUGAGACACGGUCCAGACUCCUACGGGAGGCAGCAGUGGGGAAUUUUCCGCAAUGGGCGAAAGCCUGACGGAGCAAUACCGCGUGAGGGAAGACUGCCUAUGGGUUGUAAACCUCUUUUUUCAGGGAGGAAUCAAUGACGUGUACCUGAAGAAUAAGCAUCGGCUAACUCCGUGCCAGCAGCCGCGGUAAGACGGAGGAUGCAAGUGUUAUCCGGAAUCACUGGGCGUAAAGCGUCUGUA
rnacentral:rRNA from 1 species